UAAAAAUACCUUUGAAGGGCCCUCAUCCCCGUCCCCCACAGACGCCUGCCUUCCUCCUCAGCACCCUUGGAGGUUGCACUAAAAACCGUCAGAUUUUUCCAGACCCUACUACCCGCGGGGUUGGGCGGGAGGAUGUGCCGCCGGUCCCGCUGCUCGGAUCUUCUGCGCCCAGCGGCCCCGCGUCUGCGUCCUCGUUACCACUACAAAGCCUGGCGGACUGAGCCCUUUUCCAAUCUGCGUUUUCCACUGAGAACGUCAAGAGGCCAGAAACUUCCAAGUCAGCCCGCGGACGCAGACGCCUCCUAGGUUUCGGCUUUAUCUCUGGGGAAAGUUCCAUUUUAAGAACCAGAUGCCAACAUUCCCGGACAGUUUACGGCAUCCGGAUCCCUCAAGGGCGCUCGUCUGCAGUUUAGAGUGUUAGCAGCUAUUAUUUAUCAUCUCUCCUGGAGAGGAGUUCCUGAACGUUGUGUUUUGUGAGCAACAUCGAUGGGACAAUGGAGCAUGUGCUGGGGGCUGGAAGCCUGGCCCAUAUGCGGUCCCACCUCCCUGCCUCCCUGGGACAAGGUCUCUGGUAGCUUCUGAGGUUGCUACUUUCGAAGGAUGCUCGCCACUGGACCAAGCUUCCCAGUGUUCAUGCUGUGUGUCAGCCCCUCCCAGACUGGACAUGGGCCAGCCCUGUGCACCCAGCAGAUUGCAGGGGACAUGAAGCUGUGUGACUUCCCAAGUUAGGUCAGAAGAAGCUUUUUAGUUUUCAUUUUGGCUUCUUGGCUUCUCUCUUACAAUCACCAUGGAAGAAAUCUGGACCUCUGUGACAUCACCGUGCUGUGAGGAAGUCCAAGUUCGCCAUGUGAAGAGGCCACACAGACAGGAAUAAGGGUGGGGCCGGCCCCAGUUUCCCCAGACAUCCCAGCUAAGCACUUGAUUGUGAGUUAAGAAGAUACCUUGGAUGUCCAGCCCAGAAAAGCCUUAAGAUGACCCCAUCCCAACCACCAACCGACAGCCGCUAUGUAAGAGGCCCCAAAGGAGACUGCCCACUGGAGUCCAAGCACCAAGACUGUGAGAGAAGAAAUUGUUGUCUGGAGCCGCUGAGUUUCAGAGUGGUCUGUUGCAUUGAUAACUGAAGGGGAGGGCAGAGUGAUUCGGAGUUUCUAAGUAUGAUCUUGUGCAUGCAUUGUAGUUAUAAUCCUUGAUAGCUUAUUUGGGUUUUUGUCCCCCUGAAAGUUUUAUAAGAACAAAUCAUUUAUAAUGCUUAAAAUAAACAUUCCCAUAUUCAACAAAAGUACCUUUAUUUUGAAAGAAAUACAUGUUUUAUUUGAUGUCCUAGUGUGUAGUACAUACUCAGGUAUAUAGCGUGGGUGUUUUUUCAAAGCAGUCAGAACCCCUACCAACUUUCCUCCAAGGUAUAGAAUUUAUAACCAUACGUGAUGAGUAUAUUUUUUGAACCCAAACCAAGUAGGAUAAAUGGCCUGACUGACUCCGGGGCCCUGUAGAGGAUGGGAGAGCUGAGCGAUUGAGGAGGGUAGCCAUGUGUGGACCACACAGCUUCCUAGUGAGGGAAUAAGAGCAUCUGGUGCUUCCAGAUACUGUAUCAUAGAAACAUCUCAGAGGCGUCACUUCAUGUCAUCAAGACUUUAAGGGCCUCCUGCUAUACUGUUUACCCUGUGGAAGACACCGCUGGCGUGAAGACUGCGAAGGUUGACGACAGAAAAAGGGGGCUGGGAGCCCCGCAGGCAGAAGCUCUUGGCAGCUGCCAAAAAGCCCCCAUGACACUAUCCCAGUGUGGUCAUUUCUGGUCCCGAG
rnacentral:lncRNA from 1 species